CUAUGAAUGAAACACUGCAGUGAGUUUUCAUCGAGCUUCUGUAUAGCAGCCCUUUUCUCUCUCCUACUCUAACAAGUGUAAUCCUGCAACACAAAAUUGUGCAAUUCAUGAGUAAUUCAUUGCUCAGUUUCUUACUCAUCUACGUUUUGCGUAAGGGUCUCGUGGAAAUUAGCCAUCUUCUGAGUCCUUUCACAGCGGAGAGAAAGCGAGUGAGUCACACCCUGGAACGUAAGGGUUCUUACACUGUAAGAUGAUGUGCUAAGAACUGAAGACCGCACAAUUUGGAGAGAUGAAGGCAGAGAUGUGAUUGAAAAAGCAUACUAAUAUAAUGUACAUGUGUGAGAAAGAGCUAAUACUGAAGUGAACAAGUGCAACAGAACUAAGGCUUGGCUGUGGUUUUCUCAGUGAUAUUCUGCCCAUGGAGUGAGGCAGUCUAUCAUUACAUUGAGCCUACCAUUCUGCCUUUCAGCUCUCUCACCUCUACCAGCUACCCAUAUCCUUCUGUAGGUACUGACUUCACAGCUUUACCAGGCAAUGCUGGAGCAGGAUGAUUGGGCCACAGCCAUACUCAAUUCUGCCCUAAACAUCUAUUUGCACUGUAGGACAGGAGAAACAACACAGGCACAUGCAUCUCCUCUGACUAUUACUGCUACAUCAGCCAAGAAAUAUAAAGGAUUUUCUCUAAAUUACAAUAAUCUGAAAAAGGAGGAACUGUCUCCUAAAGAUGAAGUUGAAACAUGGUGCCUGGCAACAAUAUCUAUUCAAUAAAAUGAGGUGGAAUUUGUAAGUGUUCCCAUUUGUCUCACAUCUGAAGAAUAAUUGUGGUGAAGAGACACAUUCAGCCUAGCUUUGGGCUACUGACCAUUUACUCAGCCUUUUACUAUAAACAAAGAUAUUAGGUUAUUAAUAAGCCUUUAUAUAUAUAGGUAUUUAAUAAGUGGUUAAACUAUUUGAUGUCUUCAGAAUGUUUCUUGCCGGAGACAAGACUGAUUUCAGAAUUUCAGAUGUGACAUUACACCAUCACUGAUUAAGAAUUUGAAUCCAUUUGCAAAAAGACACUUGUGGAAGUUAAAAUGUGUUGACUGAAGUUGUUUACAGAACUCCAUCAUGCAACUCUUGUGCUGCUGUUUAUUUCACACAAAGGUUGACUAAACUCAAGGCCACUCUUCUGAAAGAGAAUGCUCACACAGAGUUUAAUGCAGCAUAACUUCGUUCCUUCAGCUAAUUUCUCCUAAUUAUCCAAGAGUGUCUUUGUAUAAAAAUAUCUUGGAGGCACACCAAUCUUUGAGCUUGCUACAAAAUCUUUGACUAUAACACAAAAUUGGCUGCAUGCCUAGAACUUCUGGUCUCUUUCUCCUAAUACUCCAGACAAGUAAAGUCCAGAUGUUAGCUUCUGUUCAAGAAAGCCACUAGAAACAGCCUUAAAAGAUUCAGUUUUCUACUAGCAGAGAACAUCAAACUUGGUCCGUUUCAUUUCAGGAGUUACAAUUUGUCUUUGGAUUUCUAUUUAAAAUACUAAUUACUGCAUAAUUCCUUAGGGCUUACUAGUUUUUUGCAUGCCUUUAAAUACAAUAGCAUCCCAAAUUACUGUGUUCUCCAUCACUGUUUUGUAUUUCUAGAGCAUUCAGUGCUUGAAACAGUUGAACAGCUCUUCCUUAUGAGCAGCUAAAAGAUUUACUUAUAAGCUAUUUGUUCUGCAAACAUAGGGACAAAUGUGUUAUAUUAAAAAUAAAAUCAAGUCCCUAUUUUCUUGAAAAAUUUUACUCUAUGAUUUCUCAGUUACACUGUUUGAAACAUGCAACUCCUUUGGAAAUAAAAUUGAUAAAACUGAUUAUUGUACUGUGACAGCAUUAUAUUUACUCCUUAAGUUUCCUCCCCAGCUAUCCUUACAUUCUUAGUUGGAUCUAGGCUGAGUUUCUUAAGAUAUUUCUUGAAUAAAUCGUGAUGUUAUUUUCUACUCCUAACUACUUAUAAGCCUUAUGUUUAUCAGUGAAAACCAGUAGCUCUUUCGAUCCUACCAAAUACAUUUAUUAAACAGGAAAGAAGAAAUUCUGUUACCAAUAUGCCAGUACCAUAAUUUAAUUAAUCCUUCCCCUGUUUUUUCUCUGCUGAUACCCAUUUGCAGACACCUAAAGAAACUGUAGAUAAUUAUCCUCAAAACUUCUUAUUUGUCUCUAACACAAUUUAUUUCAUGUUGACUAAUGAAAAUAUAUCCUUUGAACCACAAUUUCAAUAAGUCUGUGAUCUGUGAAUUUUCUGGCUCAGGCCAAUAAUCAAAGAGAUAUGCACAAUCUCCCCAAAUUGUAGGAUGCACUGCAUUGUAGUAAACAUUGCUUAUGGUCCAGAGAACUGACCAAAGCAUUGUCCUCAAUACAGUGGGUAGGAUUAUGUACUCUUUGCUGUUCUUCAGACUCUUCUGAACAAACAGAUGUAAAUCAGACAAUCAUAGGGGAAGAAAGAAUUAUCACACUAUGCUAAUCUCACACUCUCUCUUCUUACACUUCCAUCUUCAGAUUACGCUAUUGCCAUAGAACCCUGAUAUGUUCAACUAUCAAAUUUAAUUUAUUCAUUGUGAUAUAAAAAUAAGAUUAGUUCACAACACUAGUGGGCAAAGUGGUUGAAAAACCAUAAGACUUUUUUUCUAAUUUUAUACUGAUUUGAAGGGGGAGAGGCAGAAAUGACUUAAUAGCUAGACAUUAUCAUUAAUAGAUUCUAGAAUGCGUAUCAUAGUAUAAAGAAAAUAAACUUGUAAGAAAGCAUAGUACAGAAAAGUGCUUCAAUUUACAGAUAGGAUACCAGACUUUUAUCGUCAAAUUUUUAUAUUGUAUGACCUAGAAUACACAUAAAAAUAAAUAAUAGAAUAAGACUUAGAUUGCUUAAAACAAAAAAAAAAAAAAAAAAAAAAGGAGAAUGAUCUCAUCUAAUUUUCCAUGACUAUUUCUUCAUGUGGAAGGAAACAAGAUGACAUUAAAGUUAGAAGCAGGGGAAAAAAAGAAAAAAACAAAACAAAACUCUGGAAAAAAAGAAUGGUCAAUUUUUGUCUUCUUUUUCAAUACUGAAGGCAGAUCAGGUGCCUACCUCAGUGCACCAACGUUAGACAACUGAGAUUACUCAGUCACAGCAAAGUGUAGAUGGGGGACAUGCUAUGGGUUUUCAAAAACACAGUGCUAAUAUAAAAAAAAACUUCUAAUCCUCUCAGUUCACAUGCCUCAAAAACCUCACAAGUACUAUGUGACUUUGUUAUAUAUAUUUAAUCUCAUCUUUGUCAGAGGGACUCAUUUCCUCAUUUAAAAAGAGGAAUUAUUUUUGAACUCAUUUACUGUAAUUAUGAAAUUGUAUGAAGAACAAUUAUUAGAAGAAUAAGAUUCACAAGCACUGAAAGUUUAGAAUGCAAAGAUAAGCUUACAAGAAUUGUGUAAGUGUAAAAUAGGUAAUUAGUUUUGAAUGAAUCUGAAAUACAUUUCUUUUGUUAAGGUUUAUAUUGAAAAGAUAUGGAUUUGAAGAGUGGUUUCAGUGGAUGAGGAAUUGGUUGGAUUAUUUCAGAGGAUUAUGGUCAAAGGCGGAGGCUGGUGGUGAGUGGUGCCCCCAGGGAGUCCACCUUGGGAUGUAUUCAUCAACAUCUUUAUAAAUGACCUAAAUAGUGGGAUCGAGUGCACCAUCAACAAGUUUGCUGAUCACAUUAAGCUGAGUGGUGGAGUUGAUAUAACAGAAGGAAGGAAUGCCAUGCAAAGAGACAGACUCGAUAAGUGGGCCCACAGAACCUAGUGAGGUUCAACAAGGCCAAGUGGUGUAUUUGAGUUGGAGAAAUCCCAGACGUCCACAAACUAGAAGAAGAAUUCAUUGGGAGCAGCCCUGCAGAGAAGGACUUGGGGUUUCUGAUGGAUAAAGAGCUUGAUGCAAGCCAACAGUACGUGCUUGCAGCGCAGAAGGCCAACUGUCUCCUGAGCUGCAUAAUAAAGGUGUGGCCAGCAGGGUGAGGGAAGUGUCUGCCCUCUGCUCUGCCCGUGUGGCUCCACCUGGAGUACUGUGCUCAGGUCUGGGGCCCUCAGCAUAAAGAAAGACUUAAAGCUGUUGGUGCAGAUGGAGGAAGGCCACAGAGAUGAUCAUCUCUCUUAUGUGGAAAAGUUGAGGGAUCUGGGCAGGUUCUGUUUGGAGAAUAGAAGUCUCUGGUGAGACUCCAGUGAAUGGAGUUUACAAAUAUGAGGGAGAUUACAUGAUUUGAUAAUGAUGGGACAAGGAAGAAUGGUUUUAAACUAAAAGAGGGGAGGCUUAGGUUAGAUAUUAUGCAGAAUUUUUUUUAUAUAGGACAGUGGUAAGGCACUUGAACAGGUUACCCCAUCCCUGGAGGCAUUCAAGGUGAUGUUGGAUCGGGCCCUGGGCAGCCUGACCUAGUGGUUGGCAAUCCUGCCCAUGGCAAGAUUGAUUAGAACAUGGCAAGAUGGGUUAGAACUGGAUGGUAUUAAAGGUCCCUUCCAACUCAAGCCAUUCUAUGAUUUCAUCUAUAAAAAAUGUGUUUUAUGGAACAAAAUUAGCACCCCACUUGUACUACUUCAAAAGAACAGUAAAUUCUCUUCUGAAACCAAAAGCAAAUUUUAAAUUAAGAUUUCUUUCUUAUUUUUGCAGGAAAUACAUUUCAAAAAGUUCUGACUUUUUAGUAAAAUUUAUCAAGGAAACCAACCAGCAAAGUCAGGUGCUGAAGGAUUUGGGGAGAAAUAGGAGUGCUGUGCUUUGCCAGAAAGGUCGCAUGCGAUCAGCCUCAGCAUACACUAGAGAGAAGCUCCCCAUGAAGAUCUGCAGAACUUGAAGAGUGAGAACAGGACCCUGCAGUUAUAGAGAGAAGGGCCUCACAGCAAGAAAAGGGAAAGUAGCUUCACAAAGUAGAAAUAAGGGGCAAAUAGAGAUAGUUUAGGUAGAGAGUGUUAGAAAACAAGGGAUUCCAAGCACUUUCACAGACACUAGGUCUGGAAUAACAAGAAGGAUGAAGGCCAUAAAGAUAAGUACUGGAGAGCAGCUCAAAAACAUUUGGCAGGGAGGUGAUUAGAUGUCUACAGGGCAAGCUGAAACCAGUUUGGGGGAUGCCCCCCCCUUCAGGGUCAGAAGUUUGCAGUGAGGAAGACUACGAGCCUUCGCGAGGAAGACUAUGAGCCUUCAUCAUCACGACCUACUACACAUGCGCAAGGGGGGGAGGGACUGCAUGCUACUGGGCUCUCAGGAAUGUAAUGAACAUGUAUCCAAAUUCCUGUCAACUAUUGAUUAUGUAUUAGUUCGACCUAUAUCUAUAGCACGAUUUCUCCUGACGGUGUGCAAGUUAGGUGGAACGAUCCCCUUUGCACCAGGGUGUACACGCGUCACCAAUAAACACAUACCUGCUCUAUAUCCUCACUGGCUAUAGGGUCUGAUUUCUGCACAUCAAACUACCUCUUUCUUUUUCCACACACAAACCUGCGAAACUUACCUCUGAAGUGCCAAAACUUGUUUCCACUUCCAAACAGACCUCCCUCUGACAUGGGCAGACUGAUACCACCUCUUUUCAUUUUGUCCCUGCAUAUAUCCCUACCCAUUUCAUGUCUCUCUUUACUACUCUGUGCACCAGUGGUGUGAGACAGAGAUUUUUUUGUUCUGUAACUAUAUACUUUGCAGCAUCAAGGAAUCUCGGUCUUGAGUAUGCCUCCAAAGUGUUGCUGUGGUAGAAAUAAUUAUGCAGUGGAAAAAUAGAACUGGAUGAUCUUAUAGCUUUUUCUUUGCCUCAGGCCACGAAGACAAACUGGAAAGAACUAUUCAUUAUUUCUGCUGAGUUAUAUAAUUGCCAAGUCCUUUGCAGAAGGUUGAUAAUCAUGAUAAUUCUCAUUUUAUAUUGGGCAUAGACCAGAAUGUUGUGCUGUGGUUUGGCUGGUUUUGUUCCUUCUAUAUUAAUAAUAAACUAUGUGUGACGAAAACAAAACACCUUCUACUGCACUUUUGAAGAUAGCAAUCUAGUCAUUUCAUUGCUACCUUAAGUUUUACUCUUGACAUACAGAAAAUAUAUCAGUAACCAAAUUUCAUUAGUAGUUUCCCGAAUUCUGAGGAAAGUGCUUUGAAAAGCUUUCCCUGUGAGGCUUUAUUGCUAGCAAAAUUAAAAGAUUUUCUUGGUAAAUAUGAAGAAGAUGACUUUCAAAAUUCGGAGUAAAUCCUUCAAGUUUAAAAAAAACAUUACUUUUAUUUUAAAAUACUUUAGAGAUGAAUCUAUAGAAAUAUCUUUGAAACCACAUUAAUUCCAGUAUAAAUUUCAUGUAGCAGUAAUACAGAGCAGACACACCACUCAUUACUUUAAAUCAUUUGCAUUCUGUACAUGCAAAAGCAAAUAAUCCACUUUAUAAUAUGUGACAAAAUCUCAGUUGAUAAGCAAAUGAAAAUGGAAAAUUAUUGAAGUCAAAGGGAAAAAAGAAAAUCCUGAAUUGAACUAACAAAACAAAACAAACAAGAACAACAACAAAACAAAACAAAACAACCACACCUACAGUUUUCCAGGACAAGCAAGAUUUACCAGCUGCCAAACUGUAACACUGGGCAAAAUCCAUGGAUGAGGUUUGCUUUCCUUCCUUUCCCGUAUUUUUUUUUUUAACAUCUUUUUUUCAGUAAGAAACAUAAAUCACAGAAUCAAAGAACGGCCCAAGCUGGAAAGUCCACCCAUUGGCUCCACACAGGACCACCCAAAAAUCAGACCAUAUGUCUGAGAGCAUUGUCCAAAUGCUCCUUAACUCUAGCAGUUUGGUACCAUGACCACAGCCCUGGGAAGUAUGUUCCAGUGCCUGACCACCCCCUGGCAAAGAACCUUUUCCUGACAUCCAGCCUCACCCUCCCCAUUGCAGCUCUAUGCCCUUCCCUUGCUCCCUGCCUCUUAUCAAAGAGCAGAGCUCAGUGCUGUCUCUCCGCUCCCUGUGAGAGCUGCAGCCUCCAUGAGGCGUUCCCUCACCUCCUCAGUUCCAAACUGAACAAACCAAGGGACCACACCUGCUCCUCGUUCAGGUUGUCCUCUAGACCCUUCAUCAUCUUUGUAGCUCUAAAUAAAUGAAUAAAAGCUCUUCAAGGGUCAGCCUAUUCUAAGCGAGGAAAAAGUGAAAAAAACAAUCAACCAAAUACAUUUUUUUUUAAUUAAUAGAUAUUUCAGUACAGUGUAGGAUACUUAUGGCCUUGCUACCCAUGUCUGUUUCAGUGAGGAACUGGUUAAAGAGUUUAACAUGAGCCACUUCAUUAUAUUGUCAUCUUUUUAAAAAGAUUUUAACCCAAAGGUUAAUUUAAGGACUGGAAUAUAGAAGCUUAUGGUUCCUAUUCAUUUACUCUUAAAGCUGAAAUUCCUGCAAUAUUGAACUUAUGAAUUUUAUUUAUUUGUUCUAAAAAACUCCAAUGCAUGCAAAAAAAUUGAAAGAACCAAUUCCCAUAUUUGGCAUAAAAUCUGGAACUCCAGCCAAGUGUAAGUAAGAGUUUUUCUGAAACUGAGCUUGAUUUCAAUCACAUGUGAGUGAACAGUGCUGUAAGAUGCUCUUACUUCAAGACUGUCCCCGAUUCAUAAGGAAAACAUUUGCAAUUUUAUGGAGAUAUCUCAUAAUUAUCUCUUCCCAAGCCUCAUCAACCCUAGAGGACAAAUCUGUCUCAGCCAAACUAGUACUAAAUGGAAGAUGUUCAUUUAGUCUAACUUAAUCUUUUUUUCCUCCCAAUGUUGGGCAGAAGGACUUCUGUUUCCAUAGUUACAAAGAUAUUUCCUUUGAACUUUUUCCAG
ensembl:lncRNA